GCGACGCCGGCGGUUCGCCGCCGGUGUUGUUGUGAGAAGUUCAUUAAACCUUAUCAUUUAGAGGAAGGAGAAGUCGUAACAAGGUUUCCGUAGGUGAACCUGCGGAAGGAUCAUU
rnacentral:rRNA from 1 species